UGAUUCGUCACACUAUCAUUAACUGAAUCCAUAGGUUAAUGAGGCGAACCGGGGGAACUGAAACAUCUAAGUACCCCGAGGAAAAGAAAUCAACCGAGAUUCCCCCAGUAGCGGCGAGCGAACGGGGAGCAGCCCAGAGCCUGAAUCAGUGUGUGUGUUAGUGGAAGCGUCUGGAAAGGCGCGCGAUACAGGGUGACAGCCCCGUACACAAAAAUGCACAUGCUGUGAGCUCGAUGAGUAGGGCGGGACACGUGGUAUCCUGUCUGAAUAUGGGGGGACCAUCCUCCAAGGCUAAAUACUCCUGACUGACCGAUAGUGAACCAGUACCGUGAGGGAAAGGCGAAAAGAACCCCGGCGAGGGGAGUGAAAAAGAACCUGAAACCGUGUACGUACAAGCAGUGGGAGCCUCUUUAUGGGGUGACUGCGUACCUUUUGUAUAAUGGGUCAGCGACUUAUAUUCUGUAGCAAGGUUAACCGAAUAGGGGAGCCGAAGGGAAACCGAGUCUUAACUGGGCGUUAAGUUGCAGGGUAUAGACCCGAAACCCGGUGAUCUAGCCAUGGGCAGGUUGAAGGUUGGGUAACACUAACUGGAGGACCGAACCGACUAAUGUUGAAAAAUUAGCGGAUGACUUGUGGCUGGGGGUGAAAGGCCAAUCAAACCGGGAGAUAGCUGGUUCUCCCCGAAAGCUAUUUAGGUAGCGCCUCGUGAACUCAUCUCCGGGGGUAGAGCACUGUUUCGGCAAGGGGGUCAUCCCGACUUACCAACCCGAUGCAAACUGCGAAUACCGGAGAAUGUUAUCACGGGAGACACACGGCGGGUGCUAACGUCCGUCGUGAAGAGGGAAACAACCCAGACCGCCAGCUAAGGUCCCAAAGUCAUGGUUAAGUGGGAAACGAUGUGGGAAGGCCCAGACAGCCAGGAUGUUGGCUUAGAAGCAGCCAUCAUUUAAAGAAAGCGUAAUAGCUCACUGGUCGAGUCGGCCUGCGCGGAAGAUGUAACGGGGCUAAACCAUG
rnacentral:rRNA from 1 species